ensembl:lncRNA
GAAAGGUGGAAGAACCAUUAAGAGGUCUGACCUAAUAAAAGGGAGUUACCACCUCAGAAGUAACGGAUUCAUCCGGAGCACAGCAGCCAGGCAACGCUCUACAGAGAUUCCAAAGGCAGGAGGAUGGUCUCCAUGGGAACCAAGGGGGACUUUUCAGAAGAAAUGAGGGUUGACUGUUAUGUUACUUAAGGAAAAGGGGGUUAAGUCUUGGCAUCCCAGCCACAAAAUUCAUAUACAUAUAAGAUUCUCUUUUCCUCCAUACCUAUGCCCUGCCUCAAAGAAAGGAAGAAAGGAAAAAGAAAGAAAGAAAGAAAGAAAGAAAGAAAGAAAGAAAGAAAGGAAGGAAGGAAGAAAGAAAGAAGGAAGACAAAGAAAGAAAGGAAAUAAACCUGAAAAUUACAUCAAAGGAAAAUGAUGCAUGAAGUUAUUGAAUGCUUAGUGUUACAGAUGCUGUUCCCAUGGAGAUCAUUCCCAGCAACGGCACAGUCUCACCCAAGAAACGGACUCUGACUUGAGUCCUUAUCUUACUUUUGUUCAUGAGAAGAAUUUGAAUGGCAUGUGCCAACAGAUGUGGUUUGAAGCAGCCAGAAGACACACCAAACAAAUUCAACUUCUUCCAGGUCUACGACGAGCACUGGCCUUUUGCCUCAGGACUCUUGUGCUUUCCCCUCUGCCUGAGAAAUUGCUGAUGGGGCUGUGAGAUAACCAGAACUUCAAGACUCAGCUAGGAUUUUGCACAUCCUUUGUUGGGGCAUUCUUCCAAUCUGCUUGCCACAAUGGAUACUGUUUAAGAGGAACUUAUCCUAGAGAAACUGAUAUAGAAGACUAUCAAGUCUAAGCAGAGACCCCCAUGCUUGCUUUUCCCUCUGCAAGGGGUUUGUGGUUCUGCAUAGAUGUACAAACUCCUAUGCAAAAAAAGACCUCUUUCAAGAAGGCUCCACCUAUGGUGAUCAAAGAAAUAAAGGCAAUUUAUGUUUCCAUUUUCAAGUCUUCUAAGUAACACAUAUGAAUUGUCA